AGAGAAUCACCCCCGCUGGUAUUCUCAACCAUCCCUUCAUUACCAAGAGCUACCUCAACAGCAGCUCCCACCUCAGCUCCUGCUCUGAUCCUGAACCGAGCAGCAGCAGCCAGACCAGGACCAACCAGACGACCCAGGUCGAUGACAGCUCAGAUGAAUCACUGCCACC